rnacentral:rRNA from 1 species
UACGGAGGGUGCAAGCGUUGUCCGGAAUCAUUGGGCGUAAAGCGCGCGUAGGUGGCUUCGUAAGUCCGUUGUGAAAGUCAAAGGCUCAACCUUUGAAAGCCGAUGGAUACUGCGGAGCUAGAGUACGGGAGAGGCGAGUGGAAUUCCCGGUGUAGCGGUGGAAUGCGUAGAGAUCGGGAAGAAUACCUGUGGCGAAGGCGGCCAGCUGGGCCAGGUCCGACACUGAGGCGCGAAAGCGUGGGGAGCAAACAGG